CUCUUCUCUGGGACAGGGAGAAAUUUUCUGAUAGGGAUGAAAAGGAAAAAAACGGCAAAAGACACAGACACGAAAAGAUGCGCUCCUUAGUUUUUCUUUGAGGCAUUUACUGUAUAGUUGACAAUAAACUAGUCA